UAUUUCGGUGGAUGGACUUCAAAGUCAAGGAAGAGGUCUACUACCCAGAAUCACCCUACCUUCAACAAGGAUGUUGUAUUGUUACCUCAUCCAGCAUGGAGUGAAGUUUGCAAGCAUAAAACCAGAAGAAGGCUUCAUGAAAGUGGCUGUAUUUUAAGUGCCUUUGAAAUGAGAAAAAUGUGGGACUGCAGGACGGUUAUUGCAGAGAUUAGGGAAGCAUUCAAGGACAGAAUUCCUGAGGAUGUCGGUAUUGAACUUUUGAUGCCAUGUGGAAACAAAUUGGUUUCACCGAAGUUGCGCGAAGGACAGGAACUGAAUGGCUUUAUGAUUCACAAAGUAUUCAGAUCAAAGGCUGUGUACAUUAGACCAUCAACCAUCCUUCCAGUUCCUGUAAGCUUUAAACAAAUAAUAAUUGUAAAGAGGAGAUUUUUGCUCGGUUUGGAGCGCACAGUUUUCAUGGUUUGGUCAAUUUGUUU